CUCAUCACCGCUAACAAGAAUGUUAACUGGAUCAAUUAUAUCUACUAUAACCAGCAACGAUUUGUCAAUUAUACUAGAGAUGCCCUUCAGGGCUUGGCAGAACAGUUAUAGACUACCUCCCAAAUGACAUUUCAGAAUCGAAUGGCCUUAGAUAUGAUCCUAGCAGAAAAGGGGGGCGUGUGUAAGAUACUCCCCGAUACUAUGACAUGCUGUACCUUCAUCCCAGACAAUACAGGCCCCAACGGUAAGGUAACCAUGGCCAUAGAGAAAUUAGAAAGUCUUUCUGUUGAAUUAAAGAGGAAUUCGGGAGUCCCCAAUUCAUGGGACAAAUCGUUUGGAUGGAUGAGUGGAUGGCAGAAAACUCUCCUUCAAGUAAGUAUGGCAGUUCUUACUGUGGUAAUUCUCUUCCUGAUUUGCUGUGUGAUGCCCUGUGUGCAGAAAUAUUUACAGAAGAUUGUAGGUCAGACUAUUGACCGCACUACACCUACAUUCCUACAUCAGGAUAUUGACGAUAUGGACUGUGACACCCCACACACACACACACCUUUUCAGUCCCACCACCUCAAACAGACAACUACUUCCCUAUAGGGAUAGUAUAGAGACAGCGUCUGUCUCUACGGGCAGGAGUCUGAUGCGAGAGAUGUAGUGGGUUAGCCGCUACGGAAUACCUGCGCAGUGAAGUGUUCGAGGCCUGUUCAGACAGAUGAGCUGCAGCCAAUUAGGGACAUCAUUAGGGUUAGUUAGUAGUUGUCUCUCUCUCUUUCGUAAUUAGUCAUUUUAAGGAGGGACUGUUGUGGACAAAGAUAUUAACCCAAUCCAUGUUGGUAAAAUGCCUAUUUACUCCGUAUAACUACAAUCAGC